rnacentral:rRNA from 1 species
AUUGAACGCUGGCGGCAUGCCUUACACAUGCAAGUCGAACGGCAGCACGGGUGCUUGCACCUGGUGGCGAGUGGCGAACGGGUGAGUAAUACAUCGGAACGUACCUUAUCGUGGGGGAUAACGCAGCGAAAGCUGUGCUAAUACCGCAUACGCCCUGAGGGGGAAAGCGGGGGAUCGCAAGACCUCGCGCGAUUAGAGCGGCCGAGGCCGGAUUAGCUUGUGGGUGGGGUAAAAGCCCACCAAAGCGCGGAUCAGUAGCUGGUCUGAGAGGACGAUCAGGCACACGGGGACUGAGAAGCGGACCAGACUCCAACGGGAGGCAGAGGUGGGGAAUUUUGGACAAGGGGGGCAACCCUGAUCAAGCAAUGCCGCGGGAGGGAAGAAGGCCUUCGGGUUGAAAAGCUCUUUUGUCAGGGAAGAAACACCGGCUCUAACACAGUCCGGGAAUGACGGUACCUGAAGAAUAAGCACCGGCUAACUACGUGCCAGCCGCCGCCGUAA